rnacentral:rRNA from 1 species
UGGGGAAUAUUGGACAAUGGGCGAAAGCCUGAUCCAGCCAUGCCGCGUGUGUGAAGAAGGUCUUCGGAUUGUAAAGCACUUUAAGUUGGGAGGAAGGGCAGUAAGCGAAUACCUUGCUGUUUUGACGUUACCGACAGAAUAAGCACCGGCUAACUCUGUGCCAGCAGCCGCGGUAAUACAGAGGGUGCAAGCGUUAAUCGGAAUUACUGGGCGUAAAGCGCGCGUAGGUGGUUCGUUAAGUUGAAUGUGAAAGCCCCGGGCUCAACCUGGGAACUGCAUCCAAAACUGGCGAGCUAGAGUAGGGCAGAGGGUGGUGGAAUUUCCUGUGUAGCAGUGAAAUGCGUAGAUAUAGGAAGGAACACCAGUGGCGAAGGCGACCACCUGGGCUCAUACUGACACUGAGGUACGAAAGCAUGGGGAGCAAACAGG